AUCAUCAUCAUCAUUAAAUGUAAUUUGUCUGUUUUCCUAUACAAGGACUUGGGUCUUUGUUAAAUUAACUCUGAGGCCCUUUGCUUCCAGACCUUGCUUCCAUGCCUGAAAUUUCUUCUCUAGCUCUGGUAGUGACUCAGCUUU